CUUGACUUGCAUGUGAUACCUAUUAGCAAGAAUUUGAACUGGUCCAUAGCCUUGUUUGAUGCUCUAGUAGUUGCUGAAGGAGGUCUGGAUAGGAGGUAAAACAAUGGCGCACUCCAUCCACUGAAGGAAGGCACCAGGUCAUGAAGGGGCCAAGGUGGUGAACAUAAACUGGGUUGAAGAGGGAGCAUGGGUCCUAGGCCUAGGGUGAAGCUGUAGCUCACCAAUUCCUGUUACUCCUUCUCCUCUUCCCCCUUCCCCAUAAUAUCUGGACAAUUCUGCUGUGAGACAGUCCUGUGACAAAGCUCGUUGCAAGGUGCUAAAGGACGUUUCCUGUUGGAUAUAGUGGAAGAAGCUGCCUAGAGGAGCCUUCUUUUCACACUAUCUCAAGUCUAUGGAGAAGCAGAUGGCUGCCUUGUGAUCAUCAUGAUGGAGGUUGGCCCUAUUAGCUCUGCUUUAUAGAUGAGGAUUUAUAUAAGUUAGUUAAAUUCUCAUAGUUGGCA
rnacentral:lncRNA from 1 species